GAUGAAGAACGUAGCGAAAUGCGAUACGUAAUGUGAAUUGCAGAAUUCAGUGAAUCAUCGAAUCUUUGAACGCAUAUUGCGCUCUCUGGUAUUCCGGAGAGCAUGCUUGUUUGAGUAUCAGUAAACACCUCAACUUCCAUAUCUUUUUUGAAAUGGGAGUUGGACUUGAGUGAUCCCAACGCUUUUCCUCACCGAAAAGUGGCGGGUUACUUGAAAUGCAGGUGCAGCUGGACUUUUCUCUGAGCUAUAAGCAUAUCUAUUUAGUCUGCCUAAAAAACAGUUUAUUACCUUUGCUGCAGCUAACAUAAAGGAGAUUAGUUCUUGUGCUGACUGAUGCAGGAUUCACAAAGACGGCUUCGGCCGACUUUGUAAACUCGAUCUCAAAUCAAGUAAGACUACCCGCUGAACUUAAGCAUAUCAAUAAGCGGAGGA
rnacentral:misc_RNA from 1 species